rnacentral:rRNA from 1 species
GACGAACGCUGGCGGCGUGCUUAACACAUGCAAGUCGAACGGUAAGGCCCUUCGGGGUACACGAGUGGCGAACGGGUGAGUAACACGUGGGUGAUCUGCCCUGCACUUCGGGAUAAGCCUGGGAAACUGGGUCUAAUACCGGAUAGGACCAUGGACUUCACGGUUUGUGGUGGAAAGCUUUUGCGGUGUGGGAUGGGCCCGCGGCCUAUCAGCUUGUUGGUGGGGUAAUGGCCUACCAAGGCGACGACGGGUAGCCGGCCUGAGAGGGUGUCCGGCCACACUGGGACUGAGAUACGGCCCAGACUCCUACGGGAGGCAGCAGUGGGGAAUAUUGCACAAUGGGCGCAAGCCUGAUGCAGCGACGCCGCGUGAGGGAUGACGGCCUCGGUUGUAACCUCUUUCAAUAGGACGAAGCGCAAGUGACGGUACCGUAUAGAAGAAGCACCGGCCAACUACGUGCCAGCAGCCGCGGUAAU